UGAUCCCUAAAUCAUUUUCAGGAGAAAAAUCACACAGCAAGUGUAUGCUAACAAUGGAAAUCAUGCUGAGCUUGACAGUUCCCCUCUCAGAGAUGUGCACAUCCUAAUUCCUGGAACCUGUGAGUACACUAUCUUGCACAGUGGGGUUAAAUAAAGGUAGUAAUUUAAUGAUGGGAGAUAAGGUUGAUGCAGGUGGAUUCAACAGGAUCAAGCCUUCUAAGAGGGAGGGGGUGGCUCAGAGCCUUGGGCUGAAGCAAGAUGGUGCGUGACGGGAAGAUGGGGCUGGCAGGCAGAGAGAAAGUUCUUGUGCAGAGCCCCCCGGAGGAACCAGCGCUGCCCAGCACCCUGAUUUCCCACGUCUGAAGAAGGAUCUUGUAGGCUAAGAGGUGAGAACAACCUAGCCUUGCUGGCAGGAAUCCAGUCCACAGAGGUCUUGACACUGACCUUUACUCUGGAACUCCAUCCAUCUCUGGAAGAGCUGCUCUUUCGGUCAGACUCCAGUGUCCUCUUCAUCCAACAACUUCCAGCUAUUCAUGGAACCCCCUGACUGAGAGCCAUUACGUGCCAGUAAGAGCCAUCACUUGCCAAUCAUCACGGAAAAGUUGGGAAUCUGUAAAGACAGAUUCUACGAAAGACACAGAUUCUACAGAGCUUUCCCUAGAGUCUCUAAGGGACCUCCCAGGAGAUUACCAGAAAGAAGCCACGUGAGGAUACAGCAAGAACUCUGCCAGCUACAACACCGAAGACAAGCCUCACCAGAAGCCAGCCCUGACAGUACCUUACUCUUGUACUUCCAACUCCAGAAUAGUGAGGAAAUACAUCUAUGGGUUUAUGGCACUCUCUCUGUGACAUUUUGUAUAGUAUCCCUAGCAGACUACUACACCAUUCUAAAAUCUCUUUUCUGUCUUGCUAUGCCUUAUAGGGGCUUCCCUGUUGGCCCACUGGUAAAGAAUCCAUCUUCCAAUGCAGGAGAUAUAAGUUCAGUCCCUGGGUCGGGAAGACCCUCUGGAGAAGGAAAUGGCAACCCACUACAUAGCAGUCUUGCCUGUGAAAUCCCACAGACAGAGGAGCCUGGCCAGCUACAGUCCAUGGGGCCAUCAGGCCGCAAAAGAGUCAGAGGUGACUUAGCGACUAAGUAACAACAAUUCUUGUAGACGUCUUCAUUCUCUUCAUAAACAGGACAGUCUUAUAUGUAAUUGCUUCCUCUGAUGUUGUUGCCAUACUUCAUAGAACAAACUCCAACUCCCACCGAUUCUUGUGUAGCAUUUUGUUAUAACCUAUGGCCCAAACUAGCCUUUCUAAUGCCUCCAGGAAAGGUAAGCAAUUGAGAUGUUACCACAAAUCUGAACCAAGAACACCUGAUUUCUUCAAGCUUCACAGGCAAAUGAAAGAAUUAGAACUGAAUGGCAGAGGAGAAAGCAUGAAGAUGGGUGUAGUCUAAAAAGAAAUGUAAUGGAAGGAAAUUUUAUAUAUAUAUAUAUAUAUAUGUGUGUGUGUGUGUGUGUGUGUGUAUAAAAUAGCCUUGUAUGUAGGUAUAUUGUCUCCUUUUAUUAUAGAAAAACUGAUGAAAGCAAAGUCAUAUCCUAAUGGAAAGAUAUUUGUUACAAUUAA